rnacentral:tRNA from 2 species
CUUAGCUCAGCUGGUAGAGCAGUAGACUCUUAAUCUAUUUGUCCAGGGUUCGAGUCCCUGA